GGAAGAAUGCAUGCAGGUAAAUAGCUUGUAUGUUUGACGGUACCACUAGAGGAAGCACCGGCUAACUCCGUGCCAGCAGCCGCGGUAAUACGGAGGGUGCGAGCGUUGUUCGGAAUUACUGGGCGUAAAGGGCGCGUAGGCGGCUAUGUAAGUCGGGUGUGAAAGCCCACGGCUCAACCGUGGAAGAGCAUCUGAAACUGUAUGGCUUGAGUAUGGGAGGGGAAAGUGGAAUUCCCGGUGUAGAGGUGAAAUUCGUAGAGAUCGGGAGGAACACCUGUGGCGAAGGCGACUUUCUGGACCAAUACUGACGCUGAGGCGCGAAAGCGUGGGGAGCAAACAGGAUUAGAUACCCUGGUAGUCCACAGCUGUAAACGAUGAAUACUAGGUGUCGGGGGUCGAACCUCGGUGCCGCAGCUAACGCAUUAAGUAUUCCGCCUGGGGAGUACGCACGCCAGUGUGAAACUCAAAGGAAUUGACGGGG
rnacentral:rRNA from 1 species